rnacentral:rRNA from 1 species
GGUCAAGUGAAGAAGCGCAUACGGUGGAUGCCUUGGCAGUCAGAGGCGAUGAAAGACGUGGUAGCCUGCGAAAAGCUUCGGGGAGUCGGCAAACAGACUGUGAUCCGGAGAUGUCUGAAUGGGGGAACCCAGCCAUCACAAGAUGGUUAUCUUACACUGAAUACAUAGGUGUAAGAGGCGAACCAGGGGAACUGAAACAUCUAAGUACCCUGAGGAAAAGAAAUCAACCGAGAUUCCCUUAGUAGUGGCGAGCGAACGGGGACCAGCCCUUAAGUUGUAUUGAGAUUAGCGGAACGCUCUGGAAAGUGCGGCCAUAGUGGGUGAUAGCCCUGUACGCGAAAAUCCCUUUGCAAUGAAAUCGAGUAGGACGGGGCACGAGAAACCUUGUCUGAAUAUGGGGGGACCAUCCUCCAAGGCUAAAUACUACUGACUGACCGAUAGUGAACCAGUACCGUGAGGGAAAGGCGAAAAGAACCGCGGAGAGCGGAGUGAAAUAGAUCCUGAAACCGUAUGCGUACAAGCAGUGGGAGCCCACUUUGUUGGGUGACUGCGUACCUUUUGUAUAAUGGGUCAGCGACUUAUUUUCAGUGGCGAGCUUAACCGAAUAGGGGAGGCGUAGCGAAAGCGAGUCUUAAUAGGGCGUCUAGUCGCUGGGAAUAGACCCGAAACCGGGCGAUCUAUCCAUGGGCAGGUUGAAGGUUGGGUAACACUAACUGGAGGACCGAACCGACUACCGUUGAAAAGUUAGCGGAUGACCUGUGGAUCGGAGUGAAAGGCUAAUCAAGCUCGGAGAUAGCUGGUUCUCCUCGAAAGCUAUUUAGGUAGCGCCUCAUGUAUCACUGUAGGGGGUAGAGCACUGUUUCGGCUAGGGGGUCAUCCCGACUUACCAAACCGAUGCAAACUCCGAAUACCUACAAGUGCCGAGCAUGGGAGACACACGGCGGGUGCUAACGUCCGUCGUGAAAAGGGAAACAACCCAGACCGUCAGCUAAGGUCCCAAAGUCAUGGUUAAGUGGGAAACGAUGUGGGAAGGCUUAGACAGCUAGGAGGUUGGCUUAGAAGCAGCCACCCUUUAAAGAAAGCGUAAUAGCUCACUAGUCGAGUCGGCCUGCGCGGAAGAUGUAACGGGGCUCAAACCAUGCACCGAAGCUACGGGUAUCACCUUUGGUGAUGCGGUAGAGGAGCGUUCUGUAAGCCUGUGAAGGUGAGUUGAGAAGCUUGCUGGAGGUAUCAGAAGUGCGAAUGCUGACAUGAGUAACGACAAUGGGUGUGAAAAACACCCACGCCGAAAGACCAAGGUUUCCUGCGCAACGUUAAUCGACGCAGGGUUAGUCGGUCCCUAAGGCGAGGCUGAAAAGCGUAGUCGAUGGAAAACAGGUUAAUAUUCCUGUACUUCUGGUUAUUGCGAUGGAGGGACGGAGAAGGCUAGGCCAGCCUGGCGUUGGUAGUCCAGGUUUAAGGUGGUAGGCUGAGAUCUUAGGUAAAUCCGGGAUCUUAAGGCCGAGAGCUGAUGACGAGUGUUCUUUUAGAACAUGAAGUGGUUGAUGCCAUGCUUCCAAGAAAAGCUUCUAAGCUUCAGGUAACCAGGAACCGUACCCCAAACCGACACAGGUGGUUGGGUAGAGAAUACCAAGGCGCUUGAGAGAACUCGGGUGAAGGAACUAGGCAAAAUGGCACCGUAACUUCGGGAGAAGGUGCGCCGGUGAGGGUGAAGCAUUUACUGCGUAAGCCCACGCCGGUCGAAGAUACCAGGCCGCUGCGACUGUUUAUUAAAAACACAGCACUCUGCAAACACGAAAGUGGACGUAUAGGGUGUGACGCCUGCCCGGUGCCGGAAGGUUAAUUGAUGGGGUUAGCGCAAGCGAAGCUCUUGAUCGAAGCCCCGGUAAACGGCGGCCGUAACUAUAACGGUCCUAAGGAAGCGAAAUUCCUUGUCGGGUAAGUUCCGACCUGCACGAAUGGCGUAACGAUGGCGGCGCUGUCUCCACCCGAGACUCAGUGAAAUUGAAAUCGCUGUGAAGAUGCAGUGUAUCCGCGGCUAGACGGAAAGACCCCGUGAACCUUUACUAUAGCUUUGCACUGGACUUUGAAUUUGCUUGUGUAGGAUAGGUGGGAGGCUUUGAAGCGUGGACGCCAGUCUGCGUGGAGCCAACCUUGAAAUACCACCCUGGCAACUUUGAGGUUCUAACUCAGGUCCGUUAUCCGGAUCGAGGACAGUGUAUGGUGGGUAGUUUGACUGGGGCGGUCUCCUCCUAAAGAGUAACGGAGGAGUACGAAGGUGCGCUCAGACCGGUCGGAAAUCGGUCGUAGAGUAUAAAGGCAAAAGCGCGCUUGACUGCGAGACAGACACGUCGAGCAGGUACGAAAGUAGGUCUUAGUGAUCCGGUGGUUCUGUAUGGAAGGGCCAUCGCUCAACGGAUAAAAGGUACUCCGGGGAUAACAGGCUGAUACCGCCCAAGAGUUCAUAUCGACGGCGGUGUUUGGCACCUCGAUGUCGGCUCAUCACAUCCUGGGGCUGAAGCCGGUCCCAAGGGUAUGGCUGUUCGCCAUUUAAAGUGGUACGCGAGCUGGGUUUAGAACGUCGUGAGACAGUUCGGUCCCUAUCUGCCGUGGACGUUUGAGAUUUGAGAGGGGCUGCUCCUAGUACGAGAGGACCGGAGUGGACGAACCUCUGGUGUUCCGGUUGUCACGCCAGUGGCAUUGCCGGGUAGCUAUGUUCGGAAAAGAUAACCGCUGAAAGCAUCUAAGCGGGAAACUUGCCUCAAGAUGAGAUCUCACUGGAACCUAGAGUUCCCUGAAGGGCCGUCGAAGACUACGACGUUGAUAGGUUGGGUGUGUAAGCGCUGUGAGGCGUUGAGCUAACCAAUACUAAUUGCCCGUGAGGCUUGACCAU